rnacentral:rRNA from 1 species
UGUCUAUUAAUUGUAGACCAGCAUGAAAGGCAACAUGAGGGCCCAACUGUCUCUUGUAAUAAUCAAUUAAACUGAUCUUCUAGUAAAAAAGCUAGAAUCCUACCAUAAGACCAGAAGACCCUGUGAAGCUUAAACUAAACUAUUAAAACAUAUAAUAACUACUUUCGGUUGGGGCGACCUUGGAAAAAAAAGAACUUCCAACAAUGGCCCACAAGCCCACGACCCAGCACGCUGAUCAUCGAACCAAGUUACUCCAGGGAUAACAGCGCUAUCUUCUUCAAGAGCCCAUAUCAAAAAGAAGGCUUACGACCUCGAUGUUGGAUCAGGACAUCCUAA